CUUCGGUUAUACAGUUACACCAGGAUCGUGUAUGCCUUGAGUUGUAAAUCCACACUUUCUUCUGAAGGCUGCAAUGUUACCACUAUACCGUCAACUCAUCAACUGACUGUCACUUUGUCAACUUGACAUUUAUAUCCUGUGAGCGGCUAGACGUCACCCAAAGCGGUUAAGUACCACGGUUCUUUUGAUUUUGUAUUAAUCUUAUGCCCGGCC